GUGCACAUUUCAUUGUAUUUUUUCUUUAUCUCAAGAGAAAAGAUAUUUCUAUGAACUAAAUAAACCUUUGGAGGUAAAAUCGCAGCAUGGUUAAUUUAGUCAUUGCUGUCAGUCACCUUCAGACAAGC
ensembl:snoRNA